CAUUUAAAGAGUGCGUAAUAGCUCACUAGUCGAGUGACACUGCGCCGAAAAUGUACCGGGGCUAAACAUAUUACCGAAGCUGUGGAUUGUCCUUUGGACAAUGGUAGGAGAGCGUUCUAAGGGCGUUGAAGCAUGAUCGUAAGGACAUGUGGAGCGCUUAGAAGUGAGAAUGCCGGUGUGAGUAGCGAAAGACGGGUGAGAAUCCCGUCCACCGAUUGACUAAGGUUUCCAGAGGAAGGCUCGUCCGCUCUGGGUUAGUCGGGUCCUAAGCUGAGGCCGACAGGCGUAGGCGAUGGAUAACAGGUUGAUAUUCCUGUACCACCUAUAAUCGUUUUAAUCGAUGGGGGGACGCAGUAGGAUAGGCGAAGCGUGCGAUUGGAUUGCACGUCUAAGCAGUAAGGCUGAGUAUUAGGC
rnacentral:rRNA from 1 species